GACGAACGCUGGCGGCGUGCUUAACACAUGCAAGUCGAACGGAAAGGCCCUGCUUGCAGGGUAUUCGAGUGGCGAACGGGUGAGUAACACGUGGGUGAUCUGCCCUGCACUUCGGGAUAAGCCUGGGAAACUGGGUCUAAUACCGGAUAGGAGCCAUUUUUAGUGUGAUGGUUGGAAAGUUUUUUCGGUGUAGGAUGAGCUCGCGGCCUAUCAGCUUGUUGGUGGGGUAAUGGCCUACCAAGGCGGCGACAGGUAGCCGGCCUGAGAGGGUGGACGGCCACAUUGGGACUGAGAUACGGCCCAGACUCCUACGGGAGGCAGCAGUGGGGAAUAUUGCACAAUGGGCGCAAGCCUGAUGCAGCGACGCCGCGUGGGGGAUGACGGCCUUCGGGUUGUAAACUCCUUUCGCUAGGGACGAAGCUUUUUGUGACGGUACCUAGAUAAGAAGCACCGGCUAACUACGUG
rnacentral:rRNA from 1 species